rnacentral:tRNA from 1 species
GGGGUUGUGGCUCAGAGGUAGAGCACUCGCCUACCAUGUGUGAGGCACUGGGUUCGAUCCUCAGCACCA